UGCACUCCGGCCUGGCGAAGAGUGAGACUCCGUCUCUAAAUAAAGAAAGAAAGAAGGAAGGAAGUUGUUAUGGAUUCUUUACAGCUGUAAUGAGUCUUUCCUGCAUGAAAGGGGGGGGGGGGGGCAUGCUUAGUUUCAGUGUUGGUCUUCUCUACCGUGUGAGUAGCUUCUUACUGGUGUAAUCCCAAGCUGUGCAAAAAGUUCUUCCUGAUCUCAUAAGAGCUAAAUGGCUCCUGUGACACAUGGACCUUACAGCUCUUUAUAAACGACGCUUCUCUGGCACCCCUCUGUAGAGUUUCUCUCCAACGUGCUCCUUCUGGUGCCGAUGAAGGUUUUCAGGGUCAUCCAGCUUUUUCCCAUAUGCCCCACUCCUGUUCAGUUGCUGCCUAUGCAGAGACUGGUGCUGUGCCAAGGGAAAAAUGUCCCCCAAGAUGGGGCUGUACAUUUCACAGGGAUGAGCCUUCUUGGGAGACACACCUGCCCUCAGAGCCCUGAGCCGAGACUGUUUGUGUAGAAAUGCUCUGCUGAAAUGGCGCCCUGCCAUCUUUCACUCCACACCAACAACCCAGGGAAGAGAAAAGUGCCAGGUUCUCCAGCAUCACAUCACGGUACAGGCUUCUCUGAACCUCACCUUGGAGACUCCAUUUCUCCUGG